rnacentral:rRNA from 1 species
AACGAACGCUGGCGGCAUGCCUAACACAUGCAAGUCGAACGAAGGCUUCACUUCGGUGGGGCCUUAGUGGCGCACGGGUGAGUAACACGUGGGAAUCUGCCUUUCGGUUCGGGAUAACGUCUGGAAACGGACGCUAACACCGGAUACGCCCUUCGGGGGAAAGUUCACGCCGAGAGAGGAGCCCGCGUCCGAUUAGGUAGUUGGUGGGGUAACGGCCCACCAAGCCUUCGAUCGGUAGCUGGUCUGAGAGGAUGAUCAGCCACACUGGGACUGAGACACGGCCCAGACUCCUACGGGAGGCAGCAGUGGGGAAUAUUGGACAAUGGGGGCAACCCUGAUCCAGCAAUGCCGCGUGAGUGAUGAAGGCCUUAGGGUUGUAAAGCUCUUUCGCACGCGACGAUGAUGACGGUAGCGUGAGAAGAAGCCCCGGCUAACUUCGUGCCAGCAGCCGCCGUAA